AGGAUAAACGCUGGCGGCGUGCCUAACACAUGCAAGUCGAACGUCUCUUUCUUCGGGAAGAGGAGUGGCGGACGGGUGAGGAACACGUGGGAACCUGCCCUACAGUGAGGAAUACCGGCGAGAAAUCGCCGACAAGACCGCAUAGCCCUCUCUGGUGAGAGCCAGAGAAGGAAAGCUUCGCAAGAGGCGCUGGAGGAGGGGCCUGCGUCCGAUUAGCUAGUUGGUGGGGUAAGAGCCUACCAAGGCGUCGAUCGGUAGCUGGUCUGAGAGGACGAUCAGCCACACUGGGAUUGAGAACGGCCCAGACUCCUACGGGGGGCAGCAGUGAGGAAUUUUCGGCAAUGGGGGAAACCCUGACCGAGCAACGCCGCGUGCAGGAAGACGGCCUUCGGGUUGUAACUGCUUUUCUUUGGGACGAGCAAGGACGGUACCAGAGGAAUCAGCCCCGGCUAACUACGUGCCAGCAGCCGC
rnacentral:rRNA from 1 species